GUACUUUGGCAGUACAAAUACUAAAACAGGAACAAUACAGAGAAGAUUAAUAUGUCCCCUGGCACAAGGAUGACAAAUUCAUGAACCGUCCCAUACUUUU
rnacentral:snRNA from 1 species